rfam:Caenorhabditis remanei strain PB4641 contig1.40, whole genome shotgun sequence.
UUUCAGUUAUAAGUAGUAGUGCCGCAGGUAACCACUCAAAUAUAUGGUUUACCUACUGCCUUCUGCUUAGAAUUGAAA